rnacentral:rRNA from 1 species
AUGCAGCCGCUCUUCCUCUCUCGCUCUUCUUCUCCUGAUGUGGCGCCGCACCAUCUCCGGAUGCGCCGCCGCCACCCACGUCUGCGUGCUCAGCCACCGCUUUCACCAUCUCCUCACUCCCCUCAACCUCUCUCCCUCGCCUAUGGGGCUUUAAGAUUGAGCAGUGCUCCCCAUCCGCACGGUCAGCCCGGCCCAUGCAACAGAGGUGCUCAGGUCGCCUCCUACCCCACGGCCGCGCGCUGCGAGAGGAGCCAGCCCCCGUGUGGUUCUUCUCCGGCGACGAUGCGGCCGUUCCUUCUGACACCCUCUUCCGCGUCUGGUGCCGCUGAUGCUGGAGCACGCGUCCUUCCUCGAGCAGUACAAGGGAUUCGAGGACUCAUUCCGUGUAUACGAGCGGGGCGUCAAGUCCUUCAAGCAUCCAUAUGGAAGCACUUGUUCCAGGCGGCCCUCCUGCAGGCGCCGUUGCGGAUGAAGAAGGUUGUGUACCUCAAAAGAACCGGGAUUACCUUGGGCUUCAGUAGCAGAAACAGCAGGACCUCCUCCGUCUUCAAAUGCAACAUUCUUACUUCCUCCAAUUCUUGGGUUGCUUGCAUAAUGCGUGCCGCUAAUUCCGUAAUUUCCAGCCUCAAGAUAAAGAUUAGCUCAUUCAUGGCAGCCACACCAUCUCUUUCUGCCUCUAGUAGAGCCUCAAGCACUAUAAUAUUUGUGCUCAGACUGCUCUCCGGCGGUGUUGCCUCUGAACUGCUACCAUCUGAAGUAUGGCCCUACAGGUGCAAGCAGAAUAACGCGUCUCAUGAAAAACUGAAUGAUGCCCUGAAGAAAUUCAAAGGUGCGGUGCUUAUGCUAGGAAAGUAUCACACUGAGUGGCCUAAGGAAGCAUUUCUUCCAACGCAAUUCCAGGGCGUUCAAAAGGGGCACGUGGACGCGCCGCAAGAUACAGUCGGAGUGCGGCAUGCACGCGAUGUGGCACAAGACCGGCAAUACCUUGCCGGUGAUGGUCAACGGCCAGCAAGACGGGCAGCAAAAAAGGUUCUGGUGCUGCACACCAACAAGAACUUCGACCGGCAGAGGACCAACUGGGUGAUGCACCAGUACCACCUCGGGGACCUGGAGCAAGAGAAGGAGCGGGAGCUGGUCCUCUGCAAGAUUUUCUACCAGACGAACACUAGGGCCAGGAGUAAAAAGAUUAUAAGUCGAGCAAGUUUCAACUGGGUUGUAGACUGCCCAGGGUUGGUUUUGUUUUUAAUAGGCCCAGCCCAUGACGACAACAGGGCACAAAGAUCGAGCAGCAGUGCCUCCUGUACAAAACUGGCGACCAAGAGGAAGCACGACCCGACCAGGGGAGGAGGGAAGGCGCCAGAUCACGCGCACCGACCGCCGCAGAAGCUGCCGCCGGCCGCCAACGACCAUCGGAUUACGCCGCCCGCGCGGCCGGGAUGCCAGAGCCACGCCCGCACGGCUGCUAGCCGGCCGCGCCUUGCUAAUGGAGCCGCCGCUCCAGAUCCGGGGUUCCCCACGCAGAGGCAGGGCAACCGAGGCCCCGCCGCCAACAUCCUUGGCGCCCCGGGCUUGCCUGGCGACUGCCUCAGGCGACGGUGA